GCUGCCAAAAAGCAAUUAAAACACAGUACUGAUGGAAAUUACAAGAGGCAGUCUAAGUCAGAAGAAAUCAUUAAAUGCUAGGUCUUAUCAUUGGUGCUGCCACUGCUUCCUAAGAUCUGAUGGCCUUCUCAUCUGUCCUAUUGCUAUGUCCUCUGGAUCUACUAAAUGUUGUCAUAUGAUCUACUGUUGGAUCUUAAGGAAUUCUGAGUUUUAUCAUACUUCUCUUCCUGCUACACUCUACGAACUACCGAGCCUUUCCAUGUGUCUUGAAAAUGGAUCCACCUAAAUAAAUUUUUUUCUAAUUAAAUUAUGAACUCCCUAGAGUAUGGAGUACCUUGUUUUUUCUAUUUGCAUUCCCAACAUUUAGCCUGGUGUUCAGCAUAUAGUAGGCCCUCAGUAAAGGCUUUUAAAUCCAUUCUAUUCCAUCAUUUUAUGUACUAUCUUAGGGGUAGGGCAUUUAUAAUGUAAACUAUUACAAAAUAUUUUCUCCCCCCAAAUGAUUGAGAGUAUAUUUAUAACUACUAACCCAUAUAUCUAUGUUUAAAAAUCUUCAUAAAAUCUUUAUGAGAAUAAUCAAUAUGUAAAUUGAGGAUAGCUUUGAUUUAAAAACAAACUGGAAAAGGAAACAAAGUCUUUUCAAAGUAAUUUUCUAUAGCAAUUUAUAUAUUUCCAGUCUGACAAUUGACUGCAGGGUACAGAGGAAAUAUAUUCUUAUGUUUACUGUUUUUUAUUAUAAAAUAUUUAGUAAAAUAAAAUUUUGAAGUCAAUUUAUUAAACA
rnacentral:lncRNA from 1 species